rnacentral:rRNA from 1 species
UACGGGGGGGGCAAGCGUUGUUCGGAAUUACUGGGCGUAAAGCGCGGGCAGGCGGCUCGAAGCGUCUGAUGUGAAAUCUCCUCGCUCAACGGGGAGAGGCCAUUGGAAACGGUCGAGCUGGAGGGCAGUAGAGGUAGGCGGAAUUCCGGGUGGAGUGGUGAAAUGCGUAGAGAUCCGGAGGAACACCGAUGGCGAAGGCAGCCCCCUGGGUCAAAACUGACGCUCAUGCACGAAAGCGUGGGGAGCAAACAGG